rnacentral:rRNA from 1 species
AUACGGAGGGUGCAAGCGUUAUCCGGAAUCAUUGGGUUUAAAGGGUCCGUAGGCGGAUAAUUAAGUCAGGGGUGAAAUCCCACAGCUCAACUGUGGCACUGCCUUUGAUACUGGUUAUCUCGAGUUAUAGGGAAGUAGAUAGAAUAUGUAGUGUAGCGGUGAAAUGCAUAGAUAUUACAUAGAAUACCGAUUGCGAAGGCAGUCUACUAUCUGUAUACUGACGCUAAGGGACGAAAGCGUGGGGAGCGAACAGGAUUAGAAACCCUAGUAGUCC